AGCGGAUUUGUUCUGGCGACUUGCCAGAAACAAAAAUUGUUAAGCAGACAAGCGCCCUUUGACAUCCCGUUUCGCGUUGGCUUUUUAUCAAAUCAGGACUUGAUUUGAUUAGACCCCGAACGGAAUGAUAAAUUAUUGCCUGGCUGAAUUGGCCAGCUGCUGGUGUCCUCUGACGACUUAAUGCGUGUCGUCUGCCAAACGAUUUGGAAAAAUUGAUUGUGUCCACACUCACAAUCAAUUGCCAAAGGAAACUCGGCAGCAGAACGGCCAAGCAAUAAACAAUUCCACAUCUAAAAGGGUCUGGGUUGAGUUUGGGGACCGACGCCGUUCACAAAACUACAGACAACAAAACAUGGCAAAAUAAUUGAACGUUCUUUUUUAUUUUGAUGGAAAAACAAAGCCACAAAACCACUCUAUUCCAGUCCAGUGCUCCUGGUUGCCAAGGCAAUCUAAAAAUGCCUUUGCAUUCAAUGCUUUUCCGCAUCGGCCAGCUAAUAUUUUCCUAUAAUUUAUAUGGUCGCCCGGGGAAAACAUCCAGCAAACAACAGCAAAUAAAGCGACCAAUGAAAUUGUAAAGUGUCCUGUCAUCGCCACUCCAGGAGAUCCCACAACUGGCCAAAGCCCACUCAAGUGAGUCAAACACCUAGCAGCUCAAGUAAUUAGCAAUUUGUAUGGCUUUCGGCCGACGCCAUUUAUUUUGCGAAGAGCUCACAAAACUCCCGACUUGGCCAUAAAAGUUCAACACCGUUUGAGCACCUCAGCACAGCCCGCCAAGCAUAAUGAAUGUAACUUAAGCAUGAUUUAUGCCAUUACGGAGAUCAUAAAUCUCUGGGUCAGACAGGAAGUGGAGGGAAGGCGUGAUCGAAGACCAGCCACAAAUACCCUAAGUUGGUAUUAUCAUAAAUAAAUCUGACUUGUUCAUUUAAAGUCAAGAAGUUAAUUUUCUGAAUGACAUUUAAGACAUUUGAGCUCAUAUAUGCGUGUGGUUGGGUUUUGGUAGUUCAGCACAAGCAACAGAACCACAAAACGACGUGACCCAGCGACCUGAAGCGGAGGAGUCUCCAGAUACAACUUUCCGUCCGGGAAAUUUCACAUAAUUACGUGCACCAGCCGGACUUUCGGGUGGGAAAAUAGGUGCGAAGGUGGAUCCCGACACUUUGACCUUUCGGCCACAAUAUGCGCUCGUUAGUCAAUGCUUAGCAAUUUGUUAUCAAUCAAUAAUAAAUGUAAAUAACAUAAUAAUGAGAACACAGGCGUUGGACCCACUCCCCCGAAAAUGAUGAGGCAUCAGGGCAUGGGCUCAAAUGGCCUGUGGAAAGAAAAGGAAUUUGGCCUAAAUGAGUUAUUGCCCGCAUAAACAAAAACGGAAGUGCGAAAGCGCCCACGGAGGCAUGCGAUAUUGUAUUUUUUCCGCCCCAUCACGGCAGCUGUUUUCCGAAUAGACAACUCCUCCAAUUGAGCGAAUCAAUGGCCGUCCAGUCAGUCUUGAAAAUACAAAGAUACAAAAACACGGAGGCCCAGAAACAGCUACCCUGUCCAAACAGGCGGUGUUUUCUGGGAGCUGGGAGAUGGGAGCUUUCGUGGUCUUAUUUUUCACUUUUUUGCCCGCUGGUCAUGCAGUGGGGAUUCCAAGACCGUUUCGAUAGAAUUUCUCAGCUUAAAGCUGGAAAAACAGAGAACUGGAAGCAGAUACAAAUGCCUGGUUAUCUCCGAGGGAAUACGAAUACCAAUCUGGCCUCACCCACUGCACCUGGUCUAUGAGUUCUCCUGUUGCCGUGAGGAAGUUCAUCUUAUUCUGGCUAAUUAUUCCAUUUGUUUUGCAGCUCCAAGUUUUUUGCCUUGCCUUGCUUUGUUUCGUUGCCCCAAGGAUUCUGUGGCGUGACUGCACUAUCAAAAAGUGCCAUGGCAAAAACUUCCUCCUGGCUGAAUGGCUCCAUCCUUCCCCGCGAAUGGUGAAUCCAGGGUAAACAUAUUGCACAGCACAUGCAAUUCUGUCAAAACAGUCGUACUCGGUUAGCAGCUGGCAAAUAACACAUGAGAAAUGAGCAAUUUAGUGGGCGAGUCACGGAAAAGUUUUAGCCGGAUUUUGGCUCCAGAUUAGCGGUAGAAUACUUUGUCAUGCUUUUUGAGGAUUGUAUUCUGGGCAAUCCUAGACCAAAUCGCUUUUAAAUGCUGUGUACCUAAAAGGAUAUGUUAUAACUUAUAUUAUGUCAAGCAUACUUAAAUGCUUUCAACCUUCAGGUACAUGCCGUUAUCAGUACCCAACAGAAAAUUCUUUUUUGAAAGUAUCAAAGGAACUUCA